rnacentral:rRNA from 1 species
GAUGAACGCUGGCGGCGUGCCUAAUACAUGCAAGUCGAGCGAACAGAUGAGGAGCUUGCUCCUCUGACGUUAGCGGCGGACGGGUGAGUAACACGUGGAUAACCUACCUAUAAGACUGGGAUAACUUCGGGAAACCGGAGCUAAUACCGGAUAAUAUAUUGAACCGCAUGGUUCAAUAGUGAAAGACGGUUUUGCUGUCACUUAUAGAUGGAUCCGCGCCGCAUUAGCUAGUUGGUAAGGUAACGGCUUACCAAGGCAACGAUGCGUAGCCGACCUGAGAGGGUGGUCGGCCACACGGGAACUGAGACACGGUCCAGACUCCUACGGGAGGCAGCAGUAGGGAAUCUUCCGCAAUGGGCGAAAGCCUGACGGAGCAACGCCGCGUGAGUGAUGAAGGUCUUCGGAUCGUAAAACUCUGUUAUUAGGGAAGAACAAAUGUGUAAGUAACUAUGCACGUCUUGACGGUACCUAAUCAGAAAGCCACGGCUAACUACGUG